AUUCGUUUGUUCAACGAUUAAUGUCCUACGUGAUCUGAGUUCAGACCAGAGCAAUCCAGGUCAGUUUCUAUCUAUGAUACACUAUACCCAGUACGAAAGGACCG